rnacentral:lncRNA from 7 species
UAGGUGGAAUGACUACUCUGCUGAGAUGAGCUCUUAAUUAAUGCACAGAGAUCCUGAAAGUCCCACCUCUCACCAGUAAUGAUUGACAUCCAAGGAUACAUAAAUUACACUAAUUGAGCUUUCUAUUUCUACAUUUUUCUGCAGCCAACUCAUCAGAAAAGGAAGAGUUUGAAAGCCAUUUCCUGCUGCCACUCACACCGCAGAAGCUUCAGAGUUCAGAGAUGGAAUCAAAUACCUGAUGUGAAAAUCUGCUAUUAUGAUUCAUAUCCAAAGAUUCAUAUCAAUAUCCUUGCCUAGAAUAUUGCACAGAGUUAUUUAAAAAAGAUGAAGUGAAGCUAAAAGUUCUGGAUUAUUAUCUGUCUUAUUGUUGAUAUCACACCUUGGGGUGAAAAAAUGACUGAAAAUAUUCUUCCCUCGUGAUUAAAAAAAUAAAUUAUUGAACCUAUUCCAUGUUACUGGACAACACGAGGAAGCUGCUGUUUUUUAUAGGAUGUCCAGUAUUCAAAUUCCAUGAGCUUCCUUUAAGGACAGUAUUGACAGUACAGGAUUAUUUUGAUCUGUCCUUUUGUUGUCAUCCAGAACUGAGAAGCAGACUGGGGGAAGGCAGAGCAUUGCCUCAAAUUAUGUGGACAGAAGAUGUGAAUGGGAGCGUGUGGUGUAAUCUUUAGCUGAGGAAGUGACCUUCCUUCUCACCUUAAGUUAGUACUGACUUACACUAUAUUCUAACAGUGGGUUAGGUGGAACAACUCACGUGUAUCUGCCUAUACCCAGUUAGAUAGCUUGAAUCUCAGGUAUUCCUAGAUAAUAUUUCACAUUGUCUCAUAGAGAACAAGAUGACAUUUGUUGUCCUUACUAACAGAAAAUUUGUUAAGCUCCUGUUGGUGUAAAUCUAAAUGAU